AUUGCUAUUAAGAAAUCCUCUAUUUCUAAAUUGUCUUUUCCAUGGCUCUUUCAGAUCCACACCGUGACAAACACACUUUCUGUCCUCAAUUAUUUGGGCUUUUUGUUGAGCAAAGUGUUACCCAACAUCUCUCAAUCUAGCCACAACUAAAAGGUAUACCAGGAGCGAGAAGUGUGUGGGAUAUCAUCUGAAGGCGGGAUAUUUUAUCACCCUAUGCAGCAGGUUGCCUGUGAAUUCAGCAUUCAAGUGACCAAGACACAACAUCAAAUAGAGACCUUCAGGCUAGUUCUUCAUGGAAUGAUACAAAACCCACCCGGACCAAGGAUACACUGAGAAAUCAGUCCAUAUUCUUCCAAACCCCGUCUGAACUGUAUAUAAACCAAAGGCACCUUUUUGACAAUCCUGAUCAGAGUUAAGAAUUUGAAAUAAAGUGAGAUAACAUGAUUUUA